CUACGGGUGGCAGCAGUGGGGAAUAUUGCACAAUGGGCGCAAGCCUGAUGCAGCCAUGCCGCGUGUGUGAAGAAGGCCUUCGGGUUGUAAAGCGCUUUCAGCGGGGAGGAAGGCGGUGAGGUUAAUAACCUCAUCGAUUGACGUUACCCGCAGAAGAAGCACCGGCUAACUCCGUGCCAGCAGCCGCGGUAAUACGGAGGGUGCAAGCGUUAAUCGGAAUUACUGGGCGUAAAGCGCACGCAGGCGGUCUGUCAAGUCGGAUGUGAAAUCCCCGGGCUCAACCUGGGAACUGCAUUCGAAACUGGCAGGCUAGAGUCUUGUAGAGGGGGGUAGAAUUCCAGGUGUAGCGGUGAAAUGCGUAGAGAUCUGGAGGAAUACCGGUGGCGAAGGCGGCCCCCUGGACAAAGACUGACGCUCAGGUGCGAAAGCGUGGGGAGCAAACAGGAUUAGAUACCCCUGUAGUC
rnacentral:rRNA from 1 species